GACGAACGCUGGCGGCGUGCUUAACACAUGCAAGUCGAACGGAAAGGCCCUGCUUUUGUGGGGUGCUCGAGUGGCGAACGGGUGAGUAACACGUGAGUAACCUGCCCUUGACUUUGGGAUAACUUCAGGAAACUGGGGCUAAUACCGGAUAGGAGCUCCUGCUGCAUGGUGGGGGUUGGAAAGUUUCGGCGGUUGGGGAUGGACGCGCGGCGUAUCAGCUUGUUGGUGGGGUAGUGGCUUCCCAAGGCGAUGACCGCUAGACGGCCUGAGCGGGUGAGCGGCCACGCAGGAGAUGACACACGGCCCAGACUCCUACGGGAGGCAGCAGUGGGGAAUAGUGGACACUGGGCGAAAGCAUGAUCCAGCCAUGCCGCGUGAGUGAUGAAGGCCUUAGGGUUGUAAAGCUCUCUUACCCGGGAUGAUAAUGACAGUACCGGGAGAAUAAGCGCCGGCUAACUCCGUG
rnacentral:rRNA from 1 species